CCAUUUCUAGUUUUAUGUUGUUCGAUAGUCUUAUAAUAUAAAAGUUCAAAAUGCUGUUGUUGACAUUUGCUAUUUUUAGUAAUUUUGUCAACGAGUGUAAGCCAAUCAGAAGCCUGCGUUUCUAUACGAACGCCACUACCAAGAAAACCUAUAGUUCCGUGCAGGCCCUCCUUUCUUCGCGCCGCCCGUAACCAAGGAGGGCCUGUUCGCAGGCUACGAUCAUAAAAAUAGUCGAAAUACCAAUGAGCAACUAGUUUAGCGUCACAAUUAUCUGUCCAUACUCGCAACCAAAGCAACCUCCUACUUGCUGUGUUCAGACAACCAUAUACGGCAAGUGGAAAGGUGAAUCGCUGGUAUCCCAUUAAUUUACAGUGUCCAUCGAGACAAUGUACCCAAUCAACACCUUUAGUCGCAAAAUGCCCUUCUUUUUUUCUUUGAUCCAAGAGAUCCACCUUCCAAACCAGCUUGAUCUAGUUCAUUCAUAGUUGCGUACACAACAUCUCGCGGCAUUUAGCUCGUGUUCUUGUCUUAUUUUCUGAUUCACUGCUCGGUAACCCAACUGUUUACCGGGACCAUCUAAUUCUUUCCGGACUGCUUCUUUUAUCACGUUCAAGGUCAUCCCCGAGUCCGGGUAACUGAUUCCAAAAUGAAUCGUCGACUAGGC